rnacentral:ncRNA from 1 species
CCGGAAGAUGGUGAACUAUUCCUGCGUUGGGCAAAUCCAGAGGAAACUCUGGUAGAGGCCCGUGGCGGCCCUGAUGUGCAGAUCGGUCGUCCGACCUGAGGCACAAAAAAGACUAAUCAAAUCUAGCAGCUG